rnacentral:ncRNA from 2 species
UCCGUGGUAGGAGAGCGUUCUAAGGGCUGAGAAGCUAGACCGUAAGGACUGGUGGAGCGCUUAGAAGUGAGAAUGCCGGUAUGAGUAGCGAAAGAAGGGUGAGAAUCCCUUCCACCGAAUGCCUAAGGUUUCCUGAGGAAGGCUCGUCCGCUCAGGGUUAGUCGGGACCUAAGCCGAGGCCGAAAGGCGUAGGCGAUGGACAACAGGUUGAUAUUCCUGUACCACCUCUUCACCGUUUGAACGAUGGGGGGACGCAGGAGGAUAGGGUAAGCGCGCUGCUGGAAUAGCGCGUCCAAGCAGUUAGAGGGGUGACGAGGCAAAUCCCGUCACCAUGUACCUUGAGCUGUGAUGGCGAGGGAAAUAUAGUACCGAAGUUCCUGAUUCCACACUGCCUAGAAAAUCCUCUAGUGAGGUGAAAGGUGCCCGUACCGCAAACCGACACAGGUAGGCGAGGAGAGAAUCCUAAGGUGAGCGAGAGAACUCUCGUUAAGGAACUCGGCAAAAUGACCCCGUAACUUCGGGAGAAGGGGUGCUCUGUUAGGGUGCAAGCCCGAGAGAGCCGCAGUGAAUAGGCCCAGGCGACUGUUUAGCAAAAACACAGGUCUCUGCGAAGCCG